rnacentral:rRNA from 1 species
AUGCCGCUGCGCGAGAUCCCUCCGCCGUCGGGCGACAUCUUCCCGCCGCCGCGCGAGACCCGUCCGCCGGCGCCCCACCACCGCGCUCCGCAGGACCGGUUGUCCCCUCCCCUGCCGCUCAGUUCAACUUCCCCGGCCAACGCGGUCCACCACGUCGCCUGGAUUCCAAUCCAACCCGCCGUCCGGCACGGCCAAGUUCCUCCACCCAUCGUGGCUACUACCAGGACCACCACCUGCCCAGUCGUUGUGGCAUGUGGCUGCCUAGCACAUCGACGCCCCCAGGUCCAUCCUCUCUCCAUCUCGCUUACCUGCUGUUCCCUGCGACUGUACUAUGCCCAGUUUCUGUAUUGCUUCUAA